rnacentral:misc_RNA from 1 species
GAAAUGCGAUAAGUAAUGUGAAUUGCAGAAUUCAGUGAAUCAUCGAAUCUUUGAACGCACCUUGCGCUCCUUGGUAUUCCUUGGAGCAUGCCUGUUUGAGUAUCAUGAAAUCUUCAAAGUAAAUCUUUUGUUAACUCAAUUGGUUUCUACUUUGGUAUUGGAGGUCUUUGCAGCUUCACACCUGCUCCUCUUUGUUCAUUAGCUGGAUCUCAGUGUUAUGCUUGGUUCCACUCGGCGUGAUAAGUUAUCUAUCGCUGAGGACACUGUAAAAGGUGGCCAAGGUAGAUGCAGAUGAACCGCUUCUAACAGUCCAUUGACUUGGACAAUACUUUUAUGAUCUGAUCUCAAAUCAGGUAGGACUACCCGCUGAACUUAAGC